rnacentral:lncRNA from 1 species
AAAUGCCCAGCUCGCCCUUUCCAUCCACAUUCCUCUGCUCAUUCAACAGAACCAUCUGGUGUGUGCCUACCAUGUGCUGAGGACUUAGAAGCAACACCUCAGUCAUUUUCCUUGGGGAUCUCUCAGUCUGUCAGCUGUGGUGAUAGGGACAGGCAACCCAUAAGACAGGUGGGGAAGGGAGCACCGAAAGUCAAUGAAGAGAUGUGAUCUGGAGUGAUUUACUACCAGGCCAAGUGACAGUCACCCUAUUUUGCUAUUUUUUAAUUACCAUUUCGAAUUAAUAAUGUGUCUCUUCCCACGCAUCCCCCUCAGAGUGGGGCGUAAACACCUUUGUAUGUGACUGUGCAGAGCUUUGAAGCUCCCAGAACAGCAGCCCUCCUGCCUUGCCUUCUCCCCAGGUAAUGUGACCCAGGCCUGUCCUUGGCUGCAGCCACCAACCCCACCCGGAGCGGCUGUCUGAACUGCCUGGCCUGCCUGGGUCUCCACGAAGGCCAGGAUCAGGCAGAAGGCGAUGGAGGCACCUCCCGCCUUUGCUUCGUUAGUCCCAGGACGAGCGGGCCCGCGCGUACCCGGAGAGGGGCGGCGGCGCGGGUGGCCUGGCGGGUCCCGGGGCCUCGGUUCGCAUCGGAGUCCCCUCUGUGCUCGCCCUGCAGCCGCUGCCCGAGAGGUCUGAGUCGCCACCAGCUGUGUCCGCGGGGAUGUGGGGAGCGAGAUGGGAGGGGUCGCCCGCUAGUCGUCCCCGCCGGACACCGGGCACCGCGUAGCCUCAGAGAGCCGCCCGGACGCGGGGCCGCCCUGGGGAGCGGGUGAGGCCGAGGACCAGGGGGAAGGAGGAGCCCGUGGACGGCUGCAGCCCCAGAUAAGAAGCUACAGCAUCUGUCAAGAGCCGUAUGUAGCUUGAGAUGACUACCUGAAGAUGUAUCAUGGUAUCAGCUGGUUAGUUAAGAAGUCGUUUUCCAGCUUCGACAAUAUUCUGUAGGGCUGCUGUGAUUUUCUUGGGGUCCCCUCCAGUUCCUAGUCACCUUGAAUUUUCCAGCACCUGGAGGUAUCACCAGUAAAGGCGGCAAAGCAGCAAAGAUAGCAGCCUGCCUCUUUCCUCUGGGAGCUUUGUCCCAGGCAGUUUCAGAUCUGUUGUCGACCUGAACACACCUGGAAGAGGUGGCUGAAGACUCCAGAUAGGAGGUCUCACCCAUUCAGAAAGAAGAGGAUUGGGGACCCACUUAAGGAAGCAUUCUGGGCCAGGAGUGGUGGCUCACGCCUGUAAUCCCAGAACUUUCGGAGGCCAAGGCGGGCGGAUCACGAGGUCAGGAGAUCAAGACCAUCCUGGCUAACAUGAUGAAACCUUGUCUCCA